rnacentral:ncRNA from 1 species
GAACUUAGAAGUACUUGAUGUUCUGUGAGUUACCAGCAAUGUUUGAACACGAUGUUCAAACAAGCCGCCACUGAGCCACGGAUGGCGAAUUGGCGGCGGUUGCGUUCGGUAUUGUAUUUUGAAUCAGAACAUUUAGUACUUCUUAGUUUC